GCUUUUCAUCUUCAGAAUGUCUUACAAAGGUUAAACCUUUAAAAUACAUCUGUGAAAUGAAGCGUUAUAUUACUACCUUUGUUUUUUUUUCCCCUCAGUUUAAGUAGAUGUUGAAUGUUUAAAUGUCCAGAGCUGCAGAGAAGAUUGGUCAGAUUUAGAACUGAAGACUGUGAGCUUGUCCUGCACUGCCUGAACUUCUCAGAUAGCAUUGGAUGUUCUUCACUAAUUUAUAGUCCAACAUCCAAUGGACACGUCCUUCUUUUCCCCGAUGGUAAACUUUGGAGUACUGACAUCACUGAUCUUCUACGAUGCCACAAGAGCACAUCACAUGAUGAUGGAAACCACUUGCAAAUAUUACUGUUAUUUAAUUUCAACAACAGGUUGUAGUAAUUUAACUAAUAUGCUUGAAGAAUUACAUAAGUAGCAAUAGAACAAAAUAAUGUCAGCUUGCAUUUCCCCUUGUUUUGUUUCAAGACAAAUCAAUUGCAAAACACAAAUCAAAGAAAUGGAUACACAUUGUAAACAAUUUUGGGUCCCAAGCACUAAUGACUGAGAGAACUUUCUCUCAUAAAGAUAAAUAUUAUACAAUGAAGAUCCUAAAAGCUCCCCUGUGAGGCCUUGAACUACUUGAAAGGACAUUUUAUUUUAGCCCUAACAUUCUUUGAUGGGCUAAAGACGAAUGAGUAACACAAAAUGAGUAAGACCAGGUAGUCCAAGUCAUAUUGCAGUUCUCUGGAUGGAUCACUAUUCACUAAACUGUGUAAGUAAAGGACAGAAAUUAUUGUCCCCUCAUUUCCUUUAAAAAAUAUUAUGUUCUUUUGAAGCCUACCUCAGGUCUUGCAACAAGACAAAAAAGUGACUCAGCAGUUUCAAAAGAUGGCAAGACUGAGCCAGGGGGAAUUUAAUGGUAAACAGUCGUCUAAUGGUAAACAUUGGUCAUCUAAUUGUAAACAGAAGUUUGUUACAAUUUUCAGGACUUAUUUGUCAAAUCUUGACAGAUCAGGGAAAUGGAAAGGACUGUGUCCUGAUUGAGUCUGAAGAGGAGCUUGAAAUUUAUUUUCAAGGAAAAACUACAUAUUUUUAAAAAAUUCUACCUUUUUAAUAAAGACAAGGAAAUACACA
rnacentral:lncRNA from 1 species